AUGUGAGGGCUAUCUGGCUGCGACAUCUCUCACCCCAUUGAUCACCAGGGUUGAUUCAGCUGAUCUGGCUGGCUAUGCAGGUAUCCCCUUCCUCCCUCACCGCUCCAUGUGCGUCCCUCCCAAAGCUGCACACUCGAUUGAAGAGGGCGACCAUCCCCGAUAGAGGAGAACUGUUCUCGGUCAAGGGUAUACGAGUAGCUGCACUCUCCUGCUAGAACCUACAGACAAGCUCUCAAUAAGACCAAGAGGUGAAGCAAGCUUUCUGUGAAGAAAAUCAG
rnacentral:snRNA from 1 species